rnacentral:tRNA from 1 species
GGCAGCGGAGCUCAAAGGAUAGAGCGCUUCGUAUUCUACAUAUCAACACCUGGCAGUGACAUGAUAUGGGCGAAGAGGUGUGGGUUCAAGUCCCACCGCUGUUU